rnacentral:lncRNA from 14 species
AGACCCCGUGACACUGAGACAAGCAGACCCCUUGACAUUACCCUUCUCACUGAGACAGAACUUUCACCGGUCUCAUCUCCACAACUACACUUUGAGACUUUCAGCAGAAGAAAUCGUAUUUUAACCAUACCAUACAUCACGUAUAAUCACGAUAAGUCAAUCUGACCAGUUCAUCCUUGAAGACUUUUACCAACUGGGUGAAUGCCAUGAGGACAGAACAAAGACUGAAAGAAGACUACAUCUCCAAAACCUCACAGCAAUAAGUAGAAAAUCCAAAGUGUACCUGGUGAAUUUCUCUACCUCCUCCAACCCAGAAUUCAACUGAGUUUGGAAUAUUCUAGAUUCUACUAAUGAAGGAAGAAAAAGACGGUUCCAAGACUGCGCGUUGCUCAAGGACACUAGGAAACCAUUCAAAGUACCUUACAACUGAAGUUCAAUAAAUAAAUUAUAAAUAAA